AGAGUUUGAUCAUGGCUCAGAUUGAACGCUGGCGGCAGGCCUAACACAUGCAAGUCGAGCGGUAGAGAGAAGCUUGCUUCUCUUGAGAGCGGCGGACGGGUGAGUAAUACCUAGGAAUCUGCCUGAUAGUGGGGGAUAACGUUCGGAAACGGACGCUAAUACCGCAUACGUCCUACGGGAGAAAGCAGGGGACCUUCGGGCCUUGCGCUAUCAGAUGAGCCUAGGUCGGAUUAGCUAGUUGGUGAGGUAAUGGCUCACCAAGGCUACGAUCCGUAACUGGUCUGAGAGGAUGAUCAGUCACACUGGAACUGAGACACGGUCCAGACUCCUACGGGAGGCAGCAGUGGGGAAUAUUGGACAAUGGGCGAAAGCCUGAUCCAGCCAUGCCGCGUGUGUGAAGAAGGUCUUCGGAUUGUAAAGCACUUUAAGUUGGGAGGAAGGGCAGUUACCUAAUACGUGACUGUCUUGACGUUACCGACAGAAUAAGCACCGGCUAACUCUGUGCCAGCAGCCGCGGUAAUACAGAGGGUGCAAGCGUUAAUCGGAAUUACUGGGCGUAAAGCGCGCGUAGGUGGUUUGUUAAGUUGAAUGUGAAAUCCCCGGGCUCAACCUGGGAACUGCAUCCAAAACUGGCAAGCUAGAGUAUGGUAGAGGGUAAGUGAAAUUUCCUGGUGUAGCGGUGAAAUGCGUAGAAUAAUAGGAAGGAACACCAGUGGCGAAGCGACUACCUGGACUGAUACUGACACUGAGUGCGAAAGCGUGGGGAGCAAACAGGAUUAGAUACCCUGGUAGUCCACGCGUAACGAUGUCACUAGCCC
rnacentral:rRNA from 1 species